UACGUAGGGGGCAAGCGUUAUCCGGAAUUACUGGGUGUAAAGGGUGCGUAGGCGGUAUCAUAAGUCAGAUGUGAAAACCAAGUGCUCAACAUUUGGAUUGCAUCAGAAACUGUGGAACUAGAGUGCAGGAGAGGAAAGUGGAAUUCCUAGUGUAGCGGUGAAAUGCGUAGAUAUUAGGAGGAACACCAGUAGCGAAGGCGACUUUCUGGAAUGUAACUGACGCUGAGGCACGAAAGCGUGGGUAGCGAACAGGAUUAGAUACCCUGGUAGUCCACGCCGUAAACGAUGAAUGCUAGGUGUCGGGGUUUCAAUACCUCGGUGCCGAAGUUAACACAUUAAGCAUUCCACCUGGGAAGUACGAUCGCAAGAUUGAA
rnacentral:rRNA from 1 species